CUUUUGCUGACGAGUGGCGCACGGGUGAGUAAUAUAUAGGUAACGUGCCUCUUAGUCUGGGAUAGCCAUUGGAAACGAUGAUUAAUACUAGAUACUCCUUCUCAUUAUAAUUUGAGUCGGGAAAGUUUUUCGCUAAGAGAUCGGCCUAUAUCCCAUCAGUUAGUUGGUAAGGUAACGGCUUACCAAGGCAAUGACGGGUAGCGGGUUUGAGAGGAUGAUCCGCCACACUGGUACUGAGACACGGACCAGACUCCUACGGGAGGCAGCAGUGAGGAAUAUUGCACAAUGGAGGAAACUCUGAUGCAGCAACGCCGCGAGGAGGAUGACGCAUUUCGGUGUGUAAACUCCUUUUAUAAGGGAAGAAAAUGACGGUACCUUAUGAAUAAGCACCGGCUAACUCCGUGCCAGCAGCCGCGGUAAUACGGAGGGUGCAAGCGUUACUCGGAAUCACUGGGCGUAAAGGACACGUAGGCGGGUUGUCAAGUCAGGUGUGAAAUCCUACAGCUUAACUGUAGAACUGCACUUGAAACUGGCAACCUAGAGUAUGGGAGGGGGAGAUGGAAUUAGUGGUGUAGGGGUAAAAUCCGUAGAUAUCACUAGGAAUACCGAAAGCGAAGGCGAUCUCCUGGAACAUUACUGACGCUAAGGUGUGAAAGCGUGGGGAGCAAACGGGAUUUAGAUACCCCGGUAGUCCACGCCCUAAACGAUGAACACUAGUCGUUCGGGAUGCUAGUCAUCUCGGUGA
rnacentral:rRNA from 1 species